AAUCAACGCUGGCGGCGUGCCUAACACAUGCAAGUCGAACGAGAAAGUGGAGCAAUCCAUGAGUACAGUGGCGACCGGGUGAGUAACACGUGACUAACCUACCCUCGAGUGGGGGAUAACUCCGGGAAACCGGGGCUAAUACCGCAUAACAUCGCUUGGUGAAAAUCCUUGUGAUCAAAGGAGCAAUUCGCUUGAGGAGGGAGUCGCGUCUGAUUAGCUAGUUGGUGAGGUAACGGCCCACCAAGGCAAUGAUCAGUAGCCGGCCUGAGAGGGCGCACGGCCACACUGGAACUGAAACACGGUCCAGACUCCUACGGGAGGCAGCAGUGGGGAAUUUUGCGCAAUGGGGGAAACCCUGACGCAGCAACGCCGCGUGGAGGAUGAAGUCCUUUGGGAUGUAAACUCCUUUCGACCGGGACGAUAAUGACGGUACCGGAGGAAGAAGCACCGGCUAACUCUGUGCCAGCCGCCGCAGUAAAAC
rnacentral:rRNA from 1 species